UACAGGCUAUGCCUUGUUUGGGGCAAGAUAAUUUGUGUACAAGUGUGUCAAUAUCAAAGAGUAUAAUAAUAUAUAGGGAAUAUUAUUAUUAUUACAUUGUAGUGUACACAAUAAUUAGUGUCCCUGUGCAUUGUAGUGAUAAGAGAUAAUAAUACACAAUAAACGACUACAAGAUUUAAAUUAUUAUUUACUCAGUGAUAACUGAUAAUAAUAUGAAUUUUAUUGUUAUGAUAACAAUUUUCAUAUAUUUAAAUAUUAUGUUCGGAGUUAAAUCAGGAAAAAUGCAACCUAUUAUUAUUGUUCACGGUGGUGCUGGUGAUAUACCAGAAAGUCGUAUCAAUGGGAAAUUGGAAGGUGUGAAAGAAGCUGUCCGAGUCGGCUAUAAAAUAUUAUCUUCAGGUGGCUCGGCACUUGAUUCAGUGGAGGCCGCAGUUGUUUCAAUGGAAAACGAUGAAUAUUUUAAUGCAGGCUAUGGUUCAGUUCUUAAUGUAAGGGGUGAAGUUGAAAUGGAAGCAAGUAUUAUGUGUGGGAAGAACCUUGACGUUGGUGCUGUGACACUCAUAAGAGAUUUUAAGCAUCCCAUCAGCAUUGCACAUAAAGUGCUGACUGAUUCUCCACAUUCCUUGUUGGGUGGCGAAGGUGCUAAAAUAUUUGCUUUAGAUAAGGGUUUCGAAACUGUACCACCAGAGUCACUUAUAAGUGAAAAUGCGAAGCAUGCACUUGAGAGCAGCAAAAAUGAAUUUGGAAGAACCGAAAUUGGUGUUAAGGGUGACGUGGGGACCGUGGGGGCGGUCGCUAUCGACAGCAACGGGCACAUAGCCGUGGCCACGAGUACCGGCGGCAUGAGCGGGAAGGCUGUUGGCCGCAUCGGAGACACGCCGCAGAUCGGCAGCGGCACCUACGCUGAUGAUCAAGUCGGCGGUGUCUCCACCACAGAGUUUUGCAAUUGCGAGUUGAGUGAUAUCAAUGCUAAGCAAUUACUUAUGAAUCAAAUCCGGAAAAUGCAAAAAACUGAUUUACCAAGAAGAAUUGGAGUGGAGGAGCAUUUGAUACAUUUUCUUUCUUCUGAAAAAGAUUUAAUAGAUUAAAUAGAGACAUUGGAGUGACUCCGAGUACCCAAAUAGACGCAAUGCAAGAACUAAAACCUGCACCCACAAAAUAACCUGAUGUACAGCCCCAGCCACCCGCAAAGGUGUUGGAGGUGGCCAAGCCAACCGCAGGUGUGUUGGAGGUGGCGGGGGAGAAGGAGCUCCUCGAAUAUAUUUGCAUCUAGAUAGAUAUCUACACUUUUUGGUUUGAUAGUCACGACAAAAAGGCCAUGGUGAAUCUAUUCUGAAGUGUUGCGUGGCUCAUAGCAUUAUUAAGUAUAUGGGGGGUGGCAAAGACGCAAGCACAGCUACGACGCUCGCUAUCCAAGAAAUGACCAAACGUCUCAACAACACAGCGGGUGCAAU